GACGUUGAUCUGAAAACCUGGGAAGAAGCUCGAGAAGACUGCAGAGCACGGAGUUCAGAUUUGGUUGUUGUACAUGAUGAAGAUGAAGAGGAUGCAUUCAGUCAUUACAGCAGGUACAGAUCCUGGGUUGGUCUGAGAGCUGAAGGAGGGAGAUGGAAGUGGAUCGAUGGAAGUGAUCUGACUGAAAGUGUCAGCAUAUGGUUAGAAGGCCAUCCUCCUACUCACGGUCAGUGUGUAGUUUAUUACCCGUUCGGAUGGAAAUCAGAGAGCUGUGCUGAGAGAAGACCAUGGAUCUGCCAGAAGAAGCCUUUAUCUGUUUAACCCCUGCAGUCAGACUUGAGGAGGUUACUGGAUGCUCUGCAUGAUAAUAUCAACUGGCUUCAUAAAUAUCUAACUAUGAAAAUCUGUACUUCAUAAUUUAAAUGGUUUGCUU